GAGAGAAGAAAAAAAGGGGAAAGGCAAAAGAGGGGCUUAUAGCAGGAAGUAUCCUGCAUAAUCAAAAGGAUAAUGAUAAAAAUAUAUAUAUUAUCAUUAUCCUUUUGAUUAUGCAGGAUACUUCCUGCUAUAAGCCCCUCUUUUGCCUUUCCCCUUUUUUUCUUCUCU